rfam:Asian citrus Psyllid, Diaphorina citri - Florida Strain, whole genome shotgun sequence.
AUAGUUAUAGCUUGGAAGGUAGCGUAACUGCCUUGUAAGCGGUAGAUCGCGGGUUCGAAUCCCGUCACUUAUA